AGGAGGUAGAAGGAACAGCACGUUUAGCAGAGCCAUUGUCUUCAUCAUUGUCAUGGGGACGCUUUCUCGUUGUUGUUGGCUGGAAGAAAAACACAGGAGGAUGGCUCCAGGAAACCAGUUCACCUGAUUUGAUUGUGGCUACAUUUGAAUUGAUGGAUAAGGAAACAUCAUCUGAUCAUCCACCGUAAGAUCAGAAAAUACAAACACUGGGAAGACAAGUGGACAUCAUUUUUCCCAUUAUUAGGUUUAAAUUUUUUAUUAUAACAAACAGCUAUGUUUUGUGAGCUUUUACAGUCAACAACAUAACUGAGAAAA